UUGGUUUAAAUAAUUGUAGGUCUACACUUUGAAAAUUGAACUUACACAAAAUGGUGGGAUACAUUGAUUUAAUCCAA
rfam:Medicago truncatula strain A17 chromosome 6, whole genome shotgun sequence.